AGAGUUUGAUCCUGGCUCAGAUUGAACGCUGGCGGCAGGCUUAACACAUGCAAGUCGAGCGGAGCGAAGGUGCUUGCACCUUAGCUUAGCGGCGGACGGGUGAGUAAUGCUUAGGAAUCUGCCUAUUAGUGGGGGACAACGUUUCGAAAGGAACGCUAAUACCGCAUACGUCCUACGGGAGAAAGCAGGGGAUCUUCGGACCUUGUGCUAAUAGAUGAGCCUAAGUCGGAUUAGCUAGUUGGUGGGGUAAAGGCCUACCAAGGCGACGAUCUGUAGCGGGUCUGAGAGGAUGAUCCGCCACACUGGGACUGAGACACGGCCCAGACUCCUACGGGAGGCAGCAGUGGGGAAUAUUGGACAAUGGGCGAAAGCCUGAUCCAGCCAUGCCGCGUGUGUGAAGAAGGCCUUUUGGUUGUAAAGCACUUUAAGCGAGGAGGAGGAGCUUCAGGUUAAUACCCUGGAUGCUUGGACGUUACUCGCAGAAUAAGCACCGGCUAACUCUGUGCCAGCAGCCGCGGUAAUACAGAGGGUGCAAGCGUUAAUCGGAUUUACUGGGCGUAAAGCGUGCGUAGGCGGCUAAUUAAGUCAAAUGUGAAAUCCCCGAGCUUAACUUGGGAAUUGCAUUCGAUACUGGUUAGCUAGAGUAUGGGAGAGGAUGGUAGAAUUCCAGGUGUAGCGGUGAAAUGCGUAGAGAUCUGGAGGAAUACCGAUGGCGAAGGCAGCCAUCUGGCCUAAUACUGACGCUGAGGUACGAAAGCAUGGGGAGCAAACAGGAUUAGAUACCCUGGUAGUCCAUGCCG
rnacentral:rRNA from 1 species